GCGUCAAUGUUGGUAUGUCAUA
rnacentral:miRNA from 8 species